GAGAAUUCUGCUUGUCCUAUGUACAUGUGAAAGAAGAGUGCUGUACAUGUGAAAGAAGCAUGCUGUGCAUGUGAAAGAAGCGUGCAUGUGAUGUAAUGCCAAGCAGAAAAAGCUAGGGUCUUAGGGCACAUGAGGACAGGGACGAGAGAGUGGAAAAGUACCCAAAAAACACUUGUAGCACAGAUGCAGGUGUUGGGAGGCACUGGGAGAGAAACAGAUUGUAUACAAUGUAACAAUGUGCCACUGGGAAAAGUGUAAUGAAACAAGGAGCCCAUUGUGUAAAAAGAAAUGAUACGCAUGCGCAAGGAAGUUUGCCCCAAUUAAAAAUAAAAUGAUAAUGCAGGUGUUUUUAAUCUGGGAGGAGUAAUAAGGAGGAGCAAGGAGAUAAAAGAUAACAAUUUGAGCGCUAAUUGGCUACCACAAGGUAUAAGAAAUGAGUGCAGACCAUUGUAAGAUCAGAUGGCCAGCUGGCAUCUCACUUUGUUGAACUGCUCAAUAAAGUUGCUUUUCUGAGACCCAAAACCUCGACUCUGCACAAUUUCUUCAGGACCUGAUCCGGACUUUGAUGAUUUGAAUUGAGACUUAAAAUCUGCCACAACAUAAUUGGCGAGCCAGCCAGGAGCUUCGAGAGGGGAGCGGCCGUGGUGACGACGCCUGCUGGUGACCCCACGAAACAAAAGGUCGACCAAAAACAAGAUGACACCAGUCAGCUUUUGGGGCAUCUGCCUCGACAUGAACAACAGCAACUAGACUGUGCAACAAGUGAGAUUUUGGUUGGUGGGCCUUCAUCCUCCCUGAAAAUAUGAAGUUGAAACUUCUGAGGAGCUGGGAUAGACAAAGACUGUGUUGAUGGAGAAACAACCAAGAAAAAACAUCCUGCCAUUCUUCAAAUGUGCCUCCUCCGUUGCUUGGCCAAAAACCAGGCUGAGGAGAAGCAGAGAGACUACAGCAUCCAGUCCAACCACUGUGUCAGAACAUGACGCCAGACCCUUGAACGAGGACUGACAGAUCAAAUGCAUUGGAUGAGGAGAGAAACAUGACAGCAGCCCAACCAGUUCAACUGAUCCAAGCAGAAGGACUUCAUCCUUUCUUAAGCAGGUGAUGCGUCUUAAAUGAUCACAACAGAGACCGCUUAUAGUUUCAUUGAUUGGCCAUAUUAAUUGUAUUUUGAUUAUACACUGGUCCAGCAGCAGUUCUCUAUGUUCUGUUAGGCUAACACUCUAUUUGCUUUCUUUCAAUAGACGUCAGUCCAGCUGUAAGCAUUUAAUAAUGCUAAUAAUAUAAUUAAAAGAAAAGAAGUCAAGUGCUUGCGUCACUAAAUAAUUAAUUAAAGCCGAGACUGGACUUAGCAGAGUGAGAGAAUAUUGGAUUAAUAAUAAUAACAACAAGAGUAAAUGCAGCAUUAGAUUAUUUAAGAUUUUGUUAAUUAAACAGAGAAUGUUUGGGCUAUGCUUUCAAGGUAGCUGGUAUAAGCUUGAGUGAUUGUGAGUUCUGUAUUAAAAAAGGGAGAGACAAAAUGUGUCAAACAACAAAAAUGUGGAUGAUAGAGCUAUGAUGCUGGUCACUCUAUCUUGGUCAAUAGUCAUUUUUGAGAAGUAAAAUAGUUACUACACAAAUUAUAAACACGUGAUAUCACAAAUUUUGAUAUUACCGGGGAUUAUACGAUGUUGAUAUUGUGGGUCAUGAAUUUGAGAUUAUGAUGAGAUCUAAAGUAAUUUAAAAGAUUAUGAGGAGAAAUUAAAUGAACAGAUGAAUGACAAAUUAGAUUAGAUAAACUGAUAAUCGGUCUUUUAAACAGUUGACCUACCAGAUAAUUUGUUAUAUUAUAUAUUAAAAAAAGUGAGGUUUAUGACAGAGGUGUUUAACACAAUCAAAUGGCAACUGAUGUCGGCCAGCUGUGUUGUUCAAAGACGUGGACAUUGUCACAUGGGGAAUGCUACACCACAAUAUUCAGUAGCUUUUGUCAUCAGAGUUGUAUUAACAAUUUUGUAUUAGUGAUAUUCGUACCUUGAAAUUUAGGAUAGAUAAUUGAAUAUAAAAUUAAGUCUAUAUCAGAUAAGUCCAGAAGGCAGCAACACCCUCAACUUUAGAUUGGACAAAUGAGGUAUUAAAGGAAUUAAAAUAAUUACACUGGCAAACCUUUUUAAUUUAAGAUGUGCGUGGUUUUUUGACCAUCGCACAAAGGGGGGAAGUGAGUAAAAAUAUAAAAAGAGAAAAAAAAAAAGAAAGAAAUUUGAUGAUAGAUGAUUUUAAAAGAAGAUUGAUGAUAGCCAAAUGCAAUAUUUCUAAACAACGUCAGAAUUGGUGUUAGAAUAGAUUUGAUUGCCAUGGAAGGACUUAUGAUAGCUCCAUUACCACUACUGAACAUCCUGAUUCCUGAUGCGCACAGACAGUUUUGAUCACUGUGCAAGGGGGGAAAUGUGAGAAAGAUAAAAAGACAGGGAGUUUGGUCCCCAUACUUACAGACAAGGGUAGAUGAAUUUUCAAAUGAAUGUGAAAUAAUGUCAGAAAAGGAACAGCAACCCCAAUAGGCUCUAUUCCAGAAGGACCUUUCAUGCAUCUAGUGAUGGAUUGUUACAGCCAAGAUGGAGACCAUAUGCUAGAGACGAGGCAGCAGCAGGACUUAAAUUAAUAUUUGUAUAGAUAACGCCAAAUAAGAAUAUGGAAUGGAUUCAUUACAUAUAGUACAAUCAGCAGAGAUUUAUUAAUUACACGGAUGAAGCACUCGAAGCUCUAGGAGAACAACUAAAAGACACAAGCAAAAUGACCUGGCAGAAUAGACAAGCUCUGAAUUGGCUCCUGGCAGACACAGGAGGUGUGUGCGUAAUGUUUGAAACUGACUGUUGUACCUUUAUUCCUAAGCGGGCACAGACCUGGAUGGAUCUUUUACUAGGGACAUGAAGAAGAUAAAAGAAUUAAGACCGGAAGUUGCUACCAAUGCGGGGAGAGACAGGAGCUUUGGGUAUUGGCUUGACUCAAUAUUUGCAUCCUGGAAAGACUGGCUCAUUCAGGUGGGAAUAAUAUUAGCAGCAUCAGUUGGUGUUUUCUUUCUGUUGUUUUGUUGUGUUGUGCCUUUUCUCAGAUCAAUGCUGGCCAGUGCAGCUGCCAAACACAUGAUCAAUGAAUCAGUGAGACCAACUGGAGUUGACAUUGGAUGUGUCAAUGAAGAGAUUCACCCAAGUGCCCCAGACCUGGAUGAGCUGGACGAGUUUCUGUAAAGUAACUAACUGAGACCAUAUGGAAAGAUGGUACCUUAUUACUUUUUGAUUUUUUACAUUUUUACGCUGUUUAUGGUUAGAGAGGGAGAUAGCCCCACUGUGUAUUUUGAUUUUGGGGAUAAAAUCAGUUAGAACAUUUAGUGCAUGGGUAGAGUAGGCAGUUAGUUAGAGGGGUUUUUUUCUACAUUCCUUUGAUUUUGUAUAAGGGCUGUCUUUCUGGGAAUAUUUACACUCAUAUAAUCUCUUUCUAUAUAGCAUGCUUAUGUAAUCCACAAGAAAUAUUUUUACUAUAAUCACACCACUGGUCACAAUUAUAAGUAUGUGAAUGUAAGGGGAUGCUAGAAGGUCUGAAACAGGUCAUUGUCCGUGGUACGAGAUAAUGCAACCAGAAAAAAUGAAAAGUCAAGAAUGUUUUAUUAUUACUACUCACUUUAUGUCACGGUAUAUACCACCUUUUGAGUAUAUUCAUAUAUAAUGUGUUAUGAAACUAAAAGAAUGAAGGAAAAGGAUUAGAAGGAAUGUAAGAAGAGAUUAAAAGUAAGUUCUUACUUUAAAGAAAUGAUGCAGUAUGAGGGAUUGAGAUACAAAUGUUUUCAUUGUCAUUGUUUUUUUAUAUAUAUAUACAAUCUAUACUCCUGAAAGUAGUAUGUAGAAGUGCAUUAAGGAAAAAAGAAAAAAGAGAAUGGUGAUAUUUUACAUGGUUGGAACAUGUACAUGUGUGUAGUAGAUAGAGGAACUAUACGUGAAGCGCGGUCACCGAUUGUCAAAGAAGGCAAGGGCAGACUCAACUGGUGGUUUAAAAACCCGCUGUCUGCUCCAACACCAGAUAGCGCUCCAAGGCAACUUGAGCACCUCUGGCAACGAUGGAGCAACCCAGAUAGCACUCCAGGCCACCGGAAGCGCCUGCGAAGUUCCUCUGGCACCGUGGGACAAGAUAAAGAUUCAAAAAUGCAGGGAAACACAAAGAAACAUGCCUCUUAAGCUGAUGAUGUAAAAAGGAGGGUAGGAUCUUUUACUCCACUCUAGUCAAUGGAGGGUGGAGAUGUUUGGUCCUGCUUCUCCUCCAGGGUGCACCUAUGUGAUGUGGGUUAGAUUGGUAAAAGGUGAAUGGUCUAUAUUGACCAUAUUGGUAGAAGGAGAGAAGACCGACUCAUAGAGAUGCAUCCUGGGCACAAUUAUUGAGUGUGGGACUAGAGAAAGUCCCAAAGGGGGCUAUGUUGGAGAAUUCUGCUUGUCCUAUGUACAUGUGAAAGAAGAGUGCUGUACAUGUGAAAGAAGCAUGCUGUGCAUGUGAAAGAAGCGUGCAUGUGAUGUAAUGCCAAGCAGAAAAAGCUAGGGUCUUAGGGCACAUGAGGACAGGGACGAGAGAGUGGAAAAGUACCCAAAAAACACUUGUAGCACAGAUGCAGGUGUUGGGAGGCACUGGGAGAGAAACAGAUUGUAUACAAUGUAACAAUGUGCCACUGGGAAAAGUGUAAUGAAACAAGGAGCCCAUUGUGUAAAAAGAAAUGAUACGCAUGCGCAAGGAAGUUUGCCCCAAUUAAAAAUAAAAUGAUAAUGCAGGUGUUUUUAAUCUGGGAGGAGUAAUAAGGAGGAGCAAGGAGAUAAAAGAUAACAAUUUGAGCGCUAAUUGGCUACCACAAGGUAUAAGAAAUGAGUGCAGACCAUUGUAAGAUCAGAUGGCCAGCUGGCAUCUCACUUUGUUGAACUGCUCAAUAAAGUUGCUUUUCUGAGACC